UGUGCAGGGGAUGGGGAAGAUAGAGACAAUGUUUUAUUAUAAGAAUCUCCCAAAUCACAUUCCAGGCCCAGAGCUUGGCAAUACUUCAUUUUUUACUACAAUCUCCAGCACCCCCCAGCCAGCAUGCCCUGUGGCUAGUUACUAUUGCCAUGCUCUAUCCAGGCAAAAUACCCUAGGGUCCUGAAUCUACCAACACAGCAAUUGUUGCCAAUCUACAGCCAUUCCUCUGAGUCUUGCGAGUGGUUACCUGGGGACAGGUGUGCCCUGUUGCUAACCUGGCACUCAAACCUUCCCUCCUGCCUCUUCAGAAUCAAUAUAGCUCUUGUCUGGCCCUGGCAAGUUGUUCAGGAUAAGCUGAUGGUUGUUGUCAUUGCCUUUUGGGAACUAGUCCUGAAAUGAUCCUCAGAGCCAAGGAAGCUUGUAGCGGGCAGCUUCUCAAACAGGCCAGGCAUGUGUUUCUAGUUGUAGUCAAUAACAUGUAACUCAUCAAACACAGGAUUGUGGCCUGAUUGGUUCGUGUUUUUGCACUCUUUGUUCGUACUGUUGGGAAGGAUUAAUAUUAGGCAGACUGUUCAGGAUAAUAUAGCGUCUAAAUGCAACAAAGCAGACUUGCACAACCUGUGGCCCUCUCGGUAUUUGGGCCUCCAACUUCUAGAACAGUGGUUCUCAAUCUGUGGGUCUCCAGGUGUUUUGACCUUCAACUCCCAGAAAUCUUAACAGGUAGUGAAUUGGCUGGGAUUUUUGGGAGUUGUAGGCCAAAACACCUGGGGACCCACAGGUUGAGAACUACUAUUCUAGAUGCUCUAGCCAGCUGUUCCAAUGCCCAGGAAUUUUGUGAGCUGAAGUACAAAACACCUGGAGGGCUGCAGGUUAUUCAGGACUGCACUGAUAGCACUUGGUCGCUUCUGAUCUUGGAAGUAAAGAAUCAACUCUGCUGGAUGAGAGACCGCCAAUGAAUACUAGGUGCUAUAAGCUAUAUUUCAGAGGAAGGACAUGACAAAACCUCCUCUGAGUAUUCCAUGACUAUGAAAUUCAUGGGAUCUGACAUCAGAAGUCAACAGGUGACUUGAAGGAAGAUUUCUGACCUGCAUUUUGACCUAAGAGAACUUGUAUGCAAGGAGGUUAUUGUUAACCAAAUCUACCAGCUCUGGCUCCAUCAUCACUUAAAGCAAGCAUGUGGUUUAUUUUCAUGGUCUAUCAUAAUAAGCACAUGUUCUCAUCCAGGAAAAUGCGGAGACUCUUACAGAAUGACACCAAUUAAUCAUCAAUACCAUAAAAGGAUUUCCUGGUGGAAGAUAAAGUGAGGAGGAUUGAAACUACAGAGGCCAUGUCUGCUUCUUCACCUGCCCCCUCCCAUGCCCUAUGAAAGGUAAUGAGAGGUCAUGCUGUGAAGAAACGGCUGCUUAGUGACUGUGCGGGAGGCCUCCACAUUGAUAGGCGACAGCAGCAACCUGCACAGAAUCGCUCUGCAAGAGAGCCAUCUUGGCAGAACAGCCUUGGUACAAAAUGUAUGAGCAGUAGGUUUGACUGUUUUGCUGGCCUGUGAUAACACCUUCCUCUGUUAAUGACAAUCCUGCCUUCCUGCUCCCAGGGAAAUGGAGGAAUCAGAGCUCUUCCUGAAGACCUGCCUUCACCCCAGCUGUUCCAGCUUUGCAUUAGCCGUUAAUCUGGUGUGUGUGAGAGCACACGUGUGUGUUUGUGUUUAUCUGGUUCUAGCAGCUGAUGCUUCAGAAAAAGACUGUUUGUUCUCAAGGACUAGGUUGGGAUGGUGGGAUUUGUAGUGCAACACAUCUGGAUGGCGUUCAAUUGGGGGACCCUGUCCCAGGACGUGUUUCUUUCAGCAGACUCCUAGGACAGAUUGAAAUAAAGCUACAGGCUGAAGUCGGUUGCCUCCAUGACCAGGAAAUAUUAUAAACAUAUGUGUUAAAGUGGCAAUACAUUGGAGCAAGGGCUGCCGUUGUUCCAUGUCCUAGCAAAUGAACAAUAUGUUCUUAUUGAAUAAAUACAUAACAUUCAUAGUGUAAAUGAGGUUUCAUAUCCUUUUCAUGACAAAUAAACCACUGGCAUAUAGAAAACCCA